GGACUGCGUCGCGCUCGGGGGCCGCGCCGGGUAGCGUUUCUUUUUAGUGCCUGAGGCAGCUCUGGCUCGGAGAGCCUUUUGCUAGCCCCACGGGGACCUCUGUGCACGGAUGGACCCGCCCGGACCUGGCGGGAAGCGGCCUGGCAGGCGGCGGCCCCGGCGGCAUCAGCAGAGACAGGACGGGGCCGACGCCGCGGGCCCCUGAGGCGUGCGUGCCCACCGGGCCCGGCGGCGGCACCAUGAUGCCGGGCGAGACCCAUUCGGCGGCGCCCGGGACGGCGGCGGACCUGUCGCGAUGUCAGGGCUGCGCCUCUCUGCAGCAGAAUUUGAAUGAAUAUGUUGAAGCAUUAAUUACCUUGAAACAAAAAAUUAUCAAUACAGAUAAUUUGUUAACAGAAUAUCAGAAGAAAUGUGAUGAGCUGCAGUUUGCAAGAAGAGAGAAUAGUAAUCUGCAUCACCAAGUGGAAGAGAUGCUUCAAAAAAUUUCUCCUCUACAGAAAUGUCAGGAAGAACUGGGAUCUUUAAAAGCAGAGCUAGAAGAGAAAAAGAGUUCUUUAAAGUUGUAUCAGGAUACUCAUCAGGAAUAUGCUCGUGUAAAGGAAGAAUGCUUGAAGAGUGAUGCUCAGAAGAAGAAACUAGAAGCUAAGGUGAAGAAGCUGCAAGAGGCUGCUGUCAAGCAAACUCAGGACUUCAAGCAACUGAGAAAUGAAAAGAAAAUACUUGAAAAGGAAUUUAAGAAGACACAGGAAAGGCUUGACGAAUUUUCUAAACAGAAAAAUGAAAAGGAGUUGAGACAUAUUGGAACACAAAUUUCAAGUGAUUCAUAUGGAAGCAUAGAUAAAAGAAAAGUGAAACUGCUUCUGAAGGAACUCUGGCUCUGUGUAAACACAACACACAGACUACCUGGUGAAGGCAGCAGGUGUGUCCCAGAAAAACCUGCCAAAGCAAUCACCAGCUCCAGAGUGCCUGGGGAAGAUGGUACGCUACCUCCAACACAGGGCAGCCCUCUCAGGACCUCAAAUGUGCAGACGUGCCUCACAAAACUGUCCAUGGAGAUAAAGGAGGACUUUUUAUGUCAAAAUGUGGAAAAACAGAGCUCCAGUGGAACAAAUUGUAGUUCUGACCAUGUUUUUAAUGAGAAUGGAAAUCUUGAGGUUUUAGUACAAAGUCAUCAUGACGGUGGUAGCACUGAAUUUGUUGAUCAUGAUCAUUUUUUUGAUGAAGAUCUUCAAGCUGCAAUUGACUUCUUCAAACUUCCCCCUCCUCUUCUGUCACCAGUGCCCUCGCCCCCUCCGAUGUCAUCACCUCACCCGGGUUCCUUACCUUCUUCAUUUGCACCUGAAACCUACUUUGGAGAAUAUACAGAUUCCAGCGAUAAUGACUCAGUCCAGCUUAGAAAUUCUGCUGAGUCUGUUUCAGAAGAUGAUACAACUGAAUCACAGAAUUAUUUUGGCUCAUUGAGAAAAAAUAAAGGAAGUGGCACAUGGGAGGAAAAGCCCAAAUCACACGAAGCUAUCCAAGCUCUGAAUACAUGGGAAAUAAAUAAAGUGACAACUGCUGGACUCAAGACUUUCACAGCAACACUGAGAGAAUCUUCUGCCACACACUCCUUAGUUGGUGAAAAACACUGGACCACAGCAUCUCGAUCCAUGAGUGAUAGAAAAAGAGACAUUUUACAUGAGACAAAAACACAAAUGGAGGUUAGGGAGAUGGAUAAGUCAGUACAAACUGAGAAGACCAUUCAUAAACUCACUCGAGGUCUAUGCAUUGAGAGAUUGUCUGCCAGCCCUGCACAAGAGAAGGAAGCUGCCCCUGGGAAGUCUGAGUUGUGUUCUUCUCCCCUUGGCAAAAGGCCAUUAAAUGAACUCAUGGAAUCUGAAGGAAAAACCGUAUUGUCUAAAAUGAUAGGAUCGCCCAAAUCAGAGUUUACUAAGUGGACACGAAUUAAUGAAAUCACUUCUGAACCAGACCGUAUCACAGUUUCUGGCCAUUUUCACAGACUGUCUAGAGAAUUGGAAAAGGAAAAAGAAGAUACUCAAGGGUUCACUUUAGGAGAAUCACCUGAAUCAGAAGAUGAUGACUCAGGUGAUGGAAUGGAUGUAGCAGGGCUUGACGUUGAAACCAGUUUUUCUUCCUCUUCUACCUUGGUAACAUUGUCUGUUGGCAGUAAUCCCCAGUCUUCUUCUGGGUUAGACUGUGGUAAUGAUACAGAUAUUACUACUAAAGUAUUCUCUACUGAACCGCAUCAUUCAGAACAUAAAUUGCAAAAUAAAACUUUAAACACAUUACAUCUGCAGUCUGAGCCACCGGAGUGUUCUAUAGGAGGAAACAACUUGGAGAAUAGCUUGUGUGCCUUGAGCCCUGAAUUGGGAGCAUCUAAUUUUAAUGAUCAGAAGAGCAGUGGGAUAGAAUAUACAAAAGUAGUAAAAGGCUUGACCAAAAUACAUUCACUUCCUCGGUCAGUAUUUAUGAAAGCUACAAAAGAUGGGCAAUGUGAAAGUCAAGAUCCAAGAAUUGAGCUCACACUAAAUAAGCCAGAUUUCACAUCAUUAAUAGGUUCUCAGGCUGCCUUGAUCAAGAGUGGUUUGGGUUUUGUUAAAAGUACUUCAUGGCACCAUAGUGAUUUAUUAAGGAAAGGUGACGAAGAAAGUCUGAGAGCCAAAUCAGAACAUGAACAGAAGACUAGCCAUCAGUUACAAAAGGCAAUGCCAUGCCUACAAAAUAGAGGACCAACACCCAAGCCUGAUCUUCUUAGAGAAAAUAACAAUCCUGUAGAAUUCAAGACCACUGCAUCGGUGUUGCCUAAUCAAGUAUCAGUUAUCACAAAACAGACAAGACCUGAAAAGGUUCAGAGUGCCACAUUGGAACACUUGAGGCCACAUAGGGUUGAGCCUACCUUAGUAACAGAAAAUAGUGGCAACAAAACCGGUAUGUCAACUAUAGCAAAAUGUGAUGGGGAAAGAGAUGAUACAACACAAAACAUCACGGAGGUGGCUGCUGUGAAAAGCAUUUCACCAGAAGUUUCUGCCUCUAGGAGAAAAUUAGAUUUUAAUUCUCCAGGUGGUUCUUCACCAGUAGAAAAUUCCGAUUGUUCCACAAAUAGCAGAUUAUCUUUCUCUCCUGAAAAUAUCCUCAUCCAAAACCAAGACAUUGUGAGAGAAGCUGCAGUGCAGGGAGAUGGGCAGAAGCAAAGGCAGCCUCAGGCCACAGAUCUGGACUCCAGUGGGACACAUGGCAGUGAGGUGCUUCCAGCCACAGAAGUGACCGUGUCAGGAGGGUUUUCUGUUGAAGAAACCAGCUGUGGAGACACAGGGAGAUCUGGUGGUGAGGCCCUGGCUGUUGCAAAUGAUUCUACUAGCACACCACAAAAUGCUAAUGGACUUUGGAAAUUGAAAUCUACAACUCCCGGUGGUGCUUUGCCUGAGUGUUUUGGCACCACAGACACUACUUUUUCUUCAGCAUUUUGCAGAAAACAUGGAGAGACACAGGAUACCUCCCAAAGUAGCCUGCCUGGUACCUUACAUUGUUACACAGGCAUUCGAGAGGGGGGAGACGACACUGAGGUAGAGAGUGAGGCAUUUAGCUGCAGUGAGGGGAGCGAACAGCAAGAUGCUCCUGAUGACUCACAGAAAAAUUUAGGAGAUACAGAUGCUGCUGUAGCCGAGGUGAGACCUUCCUUAGAGGUAGGUUAUUUGACGUCAGCUCUGCAAGAUUUUAACAUAAGUACUUUUUCUGAGCUGGAUAGACUUUCCACAUCAGAGGUUGUGAUGUUUCUUGAGAGCUGUCAGUUAGGGGAUUAUAGUUCAGGGGACUCUGUUUCUGAAUGUUCUAGUAAAGGAACCCUAAGUAAAGAAAUGAACAAAGAAUUAAAGGCAAGUGAAAUAGGAGAAAAAUACAGAAAGCAACCCUGCGAGGAAGAAACACUUGGAACCUGUGAAGAGUGGAUUGAAUCAGAGGAAGAUGAUUAUUCGUUAAAAAAUACAAGUCAGCUCACUCAGUGUUCUUUGGAAACUCUGUCUGAGGUUCUGACCAAGAUUAGGCAAGAACUUCAAACAAAUUCUGAAGAUUGCAAUGGUAAAGAUACUGGCAGUUUAUUGCUCUUAAAUGUAAAUAACAACAUGACCACUGAGAAUUUAAAAGAGAAAAGUCCAUUUCGGGAAACGACUGGCUCCUCAUCACAUGCUUCAGAACCAACCCCACAAGCAGCUGCCUUGGACACUGAGGGCAGCUCUCCCAUCAGCGGUAUGCCUCAGAAUGAAAACACUCAGAGCAGACCAGAGGCCCGUUCAGAUGCAGGCAGGCAAACCGAUGGUGGGGAAGAAGACCUGCCAGAACCUGUGGAGCCAUCAGCCUUGUGCUCUGACUCUGUGAUGGAGCCAUCCAUAGAGCAAAGUUCUAACUGCGAGGCCGAAACAACAUUUCAGUGUCAGAUAGCAACAGUGACCUCAGAAGUUAUAAACGUACUUAUAAAUAAGGAUCAGAAUCUAGUCAUUGAAAAGGGGGACAACUGGACAAUCAUCAGUGGUGUAGCUGUCUUGCCACAUGUGGACCAGGUCACACUGUGUGACAUUCCUGGAGACAUCCCUAUUUCUCAGGAUCAAGGAGAGCUGGAAGCUGGUUGCAUCCCAGUGACUUCUGCUGAGAAGUCCCCAGAGACCAGUCACACUGGCCCUGCAUUUCAGGAGGCUCCAUGUGGCAAUAAUCUUUCAUGUCCCCAAGAGGAUGUUUCAAGCAGUGGUCAGAGCACCAACUUUGAUAAGAGUCGUUUGCGAAAUAGACCCGUUAAGCCUAGUAUAUGGAUUAGUUCUCAAAUCUAUGAUCAAAACUUCGAGACUCAGAUUGUUGCGUCUGAUCACACAUAUUAUAACUCAAAACUAGAGCCAUCUGGCAAAAAUAAGAAUCGAUCAAAGAUUUCAAACAAAGAUCAGUCAAACAAACCAGUAAAAACUUCAGCGUCGAGCAGAGUUGAAACUCAUCAGAGUGAAGUUGCUCAGUCAUUUUCAGGGGAAAAAGCUAAUACAAAAACUCAAAGAAGCCAAACUCAGACCAUUUUAGCAAAUGCUGAUACAUCCACUCCUACAGAUUGUUCUCCUGACACACUGAGUAAAAUACGGCAAGAGGUGGGGCCUCCUUUGCCGCCUCUGCUUGCUCCUCUGGUAGCUACACCUCCAAGGACUUCACAGCCACUCUCUCCACUGAUAUCGAGUUCUAGUCCUUCCUCACCAGCCUCCCCUGUUGGCCAGAUUUCUCCCUUCUGUGAAACCCCAGUGCCUCCUGUCAUGUCUCCAUGGCCAGAGGACCCCAGACGUGCCUCUCCUCCAGAUCCUUCUCCAUCUCCAUCUGCAGUUUCAGCCAGUGAGAGGGUAGUGCCGUCUCCUCUGCAGUUCUGUGCGGCCACACCGAAGCACGCACUUCCUGUGCCUGGCCGACUCCCACCCUGUGCAUCUGGCCAUGCUGCUGUGGGAGGGCCUCAGGAGAAUUCUGUGAAAAUCCUUGACACCAUGUACCCAGAGUUAUCUGCCAGGGCCCGGACCCUCAACAUCCUCAAAGGGAAUAUUCAACUCACACGAGGUCCACCUGCUGACUGUAAGAAUUUACCGGGACCUGCCAGUGCUAUGAUAGGAUUCAAAACGAUCACUUCAGCAGCAACUGCUUUUGUCAAAACUGGGAGCAGCUCUGGUGGUGACUGUAACCAAGACAAGUCAAGAGAUUUGGGGACUCAGCAGGAUUCAAGCGGGAAAAGAACACUGUCAACGUCUACACUGAGAAGUGCUAAAAGACUGCGCCUGGACACUGGGUCCCCAGAACCAGAAACCAGGGGAGUCACUGCAGAAGGAAUCCACAAGAACCUCCCAGGGAACCUCCCUCCAGCUGAAGUUGCAACAACAAAUGAGGAAAGAAGUUGUUCUAGUCCAGCCGUCAGUGCAGUUUCACAGUUGCCUUUAAGCCCAAAAGAAACUGUGGAGUCCCAUGAUAAAGCCAUAGCUAAUGCCCUGAAGAAAAUUGCAGAGUUUUCUUUUGAUCUGUUACCUGUCAUUCGUAGUCAUGUGUAUGUGGGAAAUAUCUCCAAAAAGCCCGUAAUGAGAGAUCAAGAGAAAGAAGUUGUUUAUGAAUUUAGCACAACAAAAAAGCAUUUAGCAGAGUGCUUGCUUCACUCUAUUCUCUCAGAACUAAAAAUUCAGAAGAUAUCUAUGGACCACAAUUACAUUCACGCCCUCUGCAGGGUGUACGUGGGUAUUUGUCGGCAACUCGGAGACUUGGAAAGAGCUCGUUUGUUUUGCUACAGCCUACUUAAAGAAGAUUUUCCGGAGUCUGAAAAAUUAACUUUGUUUAUUGCAAACAUGUGGCAUGAUAUAUUUCUCUCUCAAUCGGUGAUUAAUAAAGCAAUGCAGUUAGUUGCCAGGCAACGUGCUAAAGGAGAGGUUCUGAACUGCUUGAGAGCUUUUCUUAAUUGGGAAAAGAAUGCCCCGGUAGAUGUUGGCUUCAUGGUUUCUAAGCUGCUUUUGACCAUACAGUUAUGUCCAAAAACAGAAUUUCAACCUAGUGAAAAAUUUGGUGAAGACCUAAGUGAUAACACUUGGGAAUACAUAUUUGCCAUUGAUCUGCUCUGCUGCCAUCAGAAAUGGAUCUGGACGCAUGAUAACAUCAUAAGUAAGGAGCUGUGGCCUGUGAUGGAUAAGUGGAUAAAAUACAGAAAAGGACAUGCGAACAUUGCGUAUACUCCUGAUAUUAUUAUAGCCUCAAUACUGAGGCUGAUUGGUCGUUUAGGCCAAUUGGGUUUGAAAGAAGGAUUUCCAUCUGCUGUGAAAAAUAUUAGUUCGGUUAUUGGUAUGUUUAUACAGCAUGCUCACGAUGAAGAUGCAGUUUACUCUGAUACUACAGUGGGUGUAACCUAGAAGCUGUGGUAAUCCUCGUCCCCAUGAGGGAGAAGGAGGAGCUGAUGUUGGGGCCUGCUAUAGAUUAGACCUUGUGCAUGGCACUGCCCCACAGCCUAACGGGAUCCCCAAGACAGCCAUCUGAGUGGAUGGCAUUGUCCUUCUUGUAUACAGGAGGAAACCAAAGCUCAGAGAGAAGAGUGAUUUGCUGAAGAUAUACCAUGGGGUAUACAGUUAGCAGCCGUGUAUGCUCUUUGUGACUUGAGUCCCAGCAAUCCAGCAGAAAUUUCCAAGAUCCUGGAAGCUUGGCGGAGAGAGGCCUCCAAAAGCGUUCCGUCUGCGAUUGUCAGCUGCCUAGAGGAAGUCAGUGCCCUGAGCACAGAGGAGCUUGGCUGACCCGGGAUGCCACUGAGGCUUGAGAAGUGCCUUGACACAUUUUGAACACAAAUAGUUUGAUCAGCUUUCAGAAUACAAAGGGAGGUUUCAAAACAAAAAGACAUAAAAUAGAUAAAACAGACCAGAGGCUCUCCUUAUUGUUUGGCAAGGAGACAGGAGAAACAAGCAGUCGCAUAGUCGUUUUUCCCUAAAUCUCAUACGUUUCACUUAAGGCUGUUGUGAUCUGUGACAUAUGGGUUAUAUUAUUGUGUCUUUGUCAAACAACAAAAACUUGAACUUAGCCCUUUUUUUGCUGCAGAAAGUGUCCUUUUAGUGGCUUCUUAAAAUUGAGUGGCAUUUUAUAAUGAACUUACCAAUAUAAAAACAUGAUUUGGUUCCUGAGCUGUUGUUGUUGGACUUGUGCUCCAAUGAGUGACUAGGAAAAAAUAAAUUGGCAAAAACCUAGAGUUUUCUGCUAUCUUAGCUGGAAAUGAGCUGCAAAAGUUUUUCUCAAGAUGUAGUGCGUAAUUGAUCAGAGCAAAACAUGGAGAGCCCUUAGCAGAAACCCACUUUAAUGCAUUUUCUUCAUAUCCCUAAAGUUCCUUAAAAAUAUGUGACAAUGCAUCAGGAAGAGGAGAACUGAAGAGUAGAAGUUCCCUUGCAGAUUUUUUUAUCAGUGACAUGUAACGAGCAAUUCACAGAUGAGCGCAGGCAGAGCUCUGUGUGUCGUGUACAUAUGGACCGUGCUAUGAUGUGUCUCACAUUGGAUGAUAUUCCACUUUGGGAAUUUUAGUAUUUGUAUAUAGAAAAUGGGUUUAAUAACUCACCAUGGUUUUGAUUUGUCUUAUAUUCGUUAUUUCUUAAAACUCUUGUAUGUUUUUAUAAUAAAAAAUAAAAGUAAGCCAUGGA